rnacentral:rRNA from 1 species
GACGAACGCUGGCGGCGUGCUUAACACAUGCAAGUCGAACGGAAAGGCCCUGCUUUUGUGGGGUGCUCGAGUGGCGAACGGGUGAGUAACACGUGAGUAACCUGCCCUUGACUUUGGGAUAACUUCAGGAAACUGGGGCUAAUACCGGAUAGGAGCUCCUGCUGCAUGGUGGGGGUUGGAAAGUUUCGGCGGUUGGGGAUGGACUCGCGGCUUAUCAGCUUGUUGGUGGGGUAGUGGCUUACCAAGGCUUUGACGGGUAGCCGGCCUGAGAGGGUGACCGGCCACAUUGGGACUGAGAUACGGCCCAGACUCCUAUGGGAGGCAGCAGUGGGGAAUAUUGCACAAUGGGCGGAAGCCUGAUGCAGCAACGCUGCGUGCGGGAUGACGGCCUUCGGGUUGUAAACCGCUUUCGCCUGUGACGAAGCGUGAGUGACGGUAAUGGGUAAAGAAGCACCGGCUAACUACGUG